rnacentral:rRNA from 1 species
CCUACGGGAGGCAGCAGUGGGGGAUAUUGCACAAUGGGGGGAACCCUGAUGCAGCGACGCCGCGUGGGUGAAGGAGUGCUUCGGCAUGUAAAGCCCUAUCGGCAGGGAAGAAGCAAGACGGUACCUGACUAAGAAGCCCCGGCUAACUACGUGCCAGCAGCAGCGGUAAUACGUAGGGGGCGAGCGUUAUCCGGAUUCACUGGGUGUAAGGGGAGCGUAGCCGGCAAUGCAGGCCAGGGGUGAAAGCCCGGGGCCCAACCCCGGCACUGCGCUUGGAACUGUGAGGCUAGAGGGCGGGAGGGGCAGGCGGAAUUCCUGGUGUAGCGGUGAAAUGCGUAGAUAUCAGGGGGAACACCGGCGGCGAAGGCGGCCUGCUGGACCGCGACUGACGUUGAGGCUCGAAAGCGUGGGGAGCGAACAGGAUUAGAUACCCCUGUAGUC